UACGUAGGGCGCAAGCGUUGUCCGGAAUUAUUGGGCGUAAAGAGCUCGUAGGCGGUCUGUCACGUCUGCCGUGAAAACCCGAGGCUUAACCUCGUGGCUUGCGGUGGAUACGGGCAGACUAGAGGUAGGUAGGGAGAACGGAAUUCCUGGUGUAGCGGUGAAAUGCGCAGAUAUCAGGAGGAACACCGGUGGCGAAGGCGGGUCUCUGGCCGAUACUGACGCUGAGGAGCGAAGCGUGGGAGCGAACAGG
rnacentral:rRNA from 1 species